GCCCAUUUUAUUUUUUCAUAAAUUUUAUAAAAAUUUAGGCAGAGUGUCGUCUGUAUUUUGAGAAAAUAGUUCUUCAAAUACCUAUAAAAAGCACUUCUAAUACUUUAUCUCAACAAUUUCAACAACUCCACAACAAUCCCAACCAAUUUCUCAAGUUUCAAAAUUCAACAAUCAUUUCUUAAUUUCCCAAAAAUUCAAUAAU
rnacentral:misc_RNA from 1 species